CCACCUGCUCCUUCUGCCAACCAAGAAUAAUACCGUGGGACAGAACACUAGGAGGAAAAACGCUUCCGCGCUCGCACACGUACAAAGGGAAUCAAAACGGCUCCUUCGAAAAGAGCCUGUUGGGUAAACCCAGCCUCAGAGACACAAAUGCAUCUGGUUCCAGUAAAUAUUACGGCCCCUUGUUCAUGAAACGCUCUUCUGCUGCUUGGAGAGCACGGAGCAUGCUGUGUUGACAGGCACAGCAGCGCCAUGCCCAGGCUGAGCACACAAACCUCCCCAGCACCCCUGGCCAAUGCUGCCAGGGAAAUGCACGACCUGCAGCCCCACAUGGCUCGCUGCACAGACACUGGGGGGCUGUCUUAGUCUCAGGUGCGAUCGAUUUUUCUUCAGUGUCUGCUAUGAUGCUACAACUGUAAUAACACUCUGACGUUUAGAGUUUCUGAUAAGCAGCCUUGUACAGAGCCAAGGCCGUUCUCAGCAAAGCUCUCAAGAAGGAGCUGGGAGGAAACCAAAUUAGGACAGCUGCCGUCAACGAGCCAAAGGGAUAUUCCAUACCAUAUGACAUCAAGUGGAAGGGGUUUUGAAGGGGGUGGGAGUUCAUCUCACUCUCUUCCUCUGCUUGGCCAUUGGUUGGGAGGUGCUGAGCCACCGCUUCUACAUCACUUGUUACAUACAUUCGUAAAUAGACAUAUAUAUUACUUCGGUCCUUCCUUUUCUCUACCUUUGGAAAGAGAUUUCUCUCAACGCAUUAGUUCCACCUUCUUUUUUUUCCCCCCCAUAAUUCUCUCCCCCAUUCCAGUGGGAAGGGGGCAGUAAGCAAAGGACUGUGUGGUGCUGAGCCACCCACCGGCUUAAACCACAACAGGGCCGUGGGGCAAUGCCAGCAGACGUGAAGUGCACUGGGCUCAGCAGGAAAUGAAAACCAUCUGGAGGUACGCAAGCCCACUCUUUCAUUUUCCAGAAAACAACCUAUGGUGUCAAUGAAACAUGCCCCUCACUAGGAACAUCUGCAAGGAUGCUUUGAAUGACUGAGGGCAUUGCACCCCAUUAACGUCACCCUGCCGACACAAUGGCAUUGCAAACACAGCAGCAACUCCUGGCACCGAUACCUCCGGGUACAACAAGCACAGGGCACUGGGUUGCUUUGGAUGCAGUUUGAGAAAGGACGUGAGGGCUUUGUGGAAAGCGCCGUGCAGAGCACAUCAUGUCCUGCACCGGGCAGAGCGCUGUGCAUCUCUCUUCUCUCCAAACUUCGGGGCUUUGAAGCUGCACCUUGUUUCUUGGCAGUUUGCCCCCCACAACUCCAGAGCACUUUCAGCUGCUCCCUGGCAAUUCACGGCUUGCACAGUGCCAAACGCAACGAAGAAAAAAACGCAAGAAAGAAGCAAAGGCCAUGGCUAUGCACAGAAGCGGCCAGGAAGGGUUCAGCUCCAGAAUGAAACCUGCACAAGUCAACUCAGCAGAUUCCAAGGAAUUCAGUGACAUCUGACACAAUUUGGAAUGCCAGAAGCACUUGCCACACAAACAGCACCGUAUUUGGAAAGCAGCAUGUCCAAAUCAGCCCCCUUGCCCUGCUCCACCCGCUCAGCCCAACACAGAAAUCAAACACAGCAACUCUCUCACUUUGGCUCACGGCAGCCAUCAAGCUCAUGCUUUAGUGACACAGAGAACUCCAUCUCCAGCUACUCCGUGUCUCGCUAAGCACAAGCUCGGCUGGG
ensembl:lncRNA